rnacentral:rRNA from 1 species
GACGAACGCUGGCGGCGUGCUUAACACAUGCAAGUCGAACGGAAAGGCCCUGCUUUUGUGGGGUGCUCGAGUGGCGAACGGGUGAGUAACACGUGAGUAACCUGCCCUUGACUUUGGGAUAACUUCAGGAAACUGGGGCUAAUACCGGAUAGGAGCUCCUGCUGCAUGGUGGGGGUUGGAAAGUUUCGGCGGUUGGGGAUGGACUCGCGGCUUAUCAGCUUGUUGGUGGGGUAGUGGCUUACCAAGGCUUUGACGGGUAGCCGGCCUGAGGGGGGGAACGGGCACACGGGAACUGAGAGAGGGUGCAGACGCGUACGGUAGGCAGGAGUAGGGAAUCUGCCGCAAUGGGGGGAAGCCUGAGGGAGCAACGGCGCGUGAGGGAUGAAGGUCUUCGGAUCGGAAAACGCGGUUAUUAGGAAAGAACAAAUGGGUAAGUAAAUAUGCAGGGAUUGAAGGUACAUAAUUAGAAAGAGAAGGCGAACUACGUG